AGUGGAAUAUCUGGGUCAAAUGGUGAUCCCAUUCCAUGUUUUCUAAGGAAUCUUUAUACUGCUUUCCAGAGUGGUUAAACCAGUUUGCACUCCCACCAGCAAU
rnacentral:pre_miRNA from 1 species